rnacentral:misc_RNA from 1 species
GGUUUCCAUCCAUUAUGAAGGCAACAUGACUUGGGAUGGGACCUAUUGAUAGAAUGCGAAAUAUGCAUUUUCUGAUAAAUCUCCCCAAACUUGCAAGCACGCUUGGCCUACCAGCCUCAAAUAUUUCCAUUUUACUUAAACCCAAAGAGCAAUGUCAAACCAACCUCUACGAAACGAUAGCACAGCACAUGCUGGAGAGCUAGAGAGGGAUAUUCGAUGAUCUCCACUGUACAAGCUAUGAAAUUAGCCAAUUAGGCACCGUAUAUGCUUCUUACCAUAAUAGCACUACAAGAGGCUCACAUGUUGCAUAAUCAGAAAGCAUUUCCAGGAGAAACACACAGCGCCGGCGAACAAUCGGACCGGAUUGCACUAAAUCGAAGGAGAGCGUCGCCUGCUGUUGCGGUAGGCAACAAAGCAGAGACAGGCGGGAGGGCCAGCAAGGGAAAAGGUAGAAAUUAG